CCUACGGGUGGCUGCAGUGGGGAAUAUUGCACAAUGGGGGAAACCCUGAUGCAGCGACGCCGCGUGAGGGAAGAAGUAUCUCGGUACGUAAAGCUCUAUUAGUAGGGAAGAAAAUGACGGUACCUGACUAAGAAGCCCCGGCUAACUACGUGCCAGCAGCCGCGGUACUACGUAGGAGGCAAGCGUUAUCCGGAUUAACUGGGUGUAAAGGGAGCGUAGGCGGCAUCACAAGUCAGGAGUGAAAUCCUGGGGCUUAACCCCAGAACUGCUUUUGAAACUGUGCGGCUGGAGUGCAGGAGGGGUAGGCGGAAUUCGUGGUGUAGCGGUGAAAUGCUUAGAUAUCGAGAGGAACACUCGUGGCGAAGGCAGGUUCCUGGACAUUAACUGACGCUGAGGCACGAAGGCGAGGGGAGCGAAAAGGAUUAGAUACCCGUGUAGUC
rnacentral:rRNA from 1 species